rnacentral:rRNA from 1 species
CACGAGUUUGAUCCUGGCUCAGAAUGAACGUUGGCGGCGUGGAUUAGGCAUGCAAGUCGCGCGAUAAAUGUAGCAAUACAUGGAAAGCGGCGAAAGGGACAGUAACGUGUGGGAACCUACCUCGGGGUCUGGGAUAGCGGCGGGAAACUGCCGGUAAUACCAGAUUAUGUCUCCGGACCAAAGGUGUGAUUCCGCCCUAAGAUGGGCCCACAUGCUAUUAGCUAGUUGGCGGGGUAAUGGCCCACCAAGGCUAAGAUGGCUAGCGGGUGUGAGAGCACGACCCGCGUCACUGGGACUGAGAUACUGCCCAGACACCUACGGGUGGCUGCAGUCGAGAAUCUUCGGCAAUGGGCGCAAGCCUGACCGAGCGACGCCGCGUGCGGGAUGAAGGCCCUCGGGUUGUAAACCGCUGUCGAGGGGGACGAAAUUCCGGUGGGUACUCCCAUCGGAUUGACCGAUCCCUGGAGGAAGGGUGGGCUAAGUUCGUG